CAAAUACUCCCUCCGUCCGGAAAUACUUGUCAUAGAAAUGGAUGUAUCUAGACGUAUUUUAGUUCUAGAUACAUCCAUUUUGAUCCAUUUCUCCAACAAAUAUUUUCGGACGGAGGGAGUAUGCA
rnacentral:pre_miRNA from 1 species